AUGCACAAAUCAUUGUCAUGCUCUUAGUCUUUUGAAAGCUGUGAUAUUUCUGUUGUGCUAGAAAAUUCUGGAGGUAAAUUAACAGGGUGGCUACUUGUGCCACUUCUGCCAGUCCCCUUCAUACAAUU
rnacentral:snoRNA from 11 species